rnacentral:lncRNA from 1 species
GCCCACACAUGGCCUGAGUCAUUCCUUGCUCACAAUCCCUCUUGCUUCCUCUGCAGGUCUCUUGCUUCACGAGCCCACAUGGCCUGUGUGAAGGACAGUGGAAAUCCCAGAGGUGUUAUUGAGAAGCUCCUGCAGGAGCAGGGCUCCAUGACCAGGUUCAAAGUUCACCUCCUGCAGAGGAAUUGCACAUUGGGAGGAGGUCCAUCCGUCACAUGGGAGUGCACACAAAAGGCAUCGAGUUCUGGUCCAUGGCUUAACCAAGUCCAACAGAAACCACCCUGUCGUGACAUUAAGAUCUCUAUCCAACACAAAGU